rnacentral:rRNA from 1 species
UCCAGACUCCUACGGGAGGCAGCAGUGGGGGAUAUUGCACAAUGGGGGAAACCCUGAUGCAGCGACGCCGCGUGAGGGAAGACGGUUUUCGGAUUGUAAACCUCUGUCUUUGGGGACGAAUUGAGACGGUACCCAAGGAGGAAGCUCCGGCUAACUACGUGCCAGCAGCCGCGGUAAUACGUAGGGGGCUAGCGUUAUCCGGAAUUACUGGGCGUAAAGGGUGCGUAGGUGGUUUCUUAAGUCAGAGGUGAAAGGCUACGGCUCAACCGUAGUAAGCCUUUGAAACUGGGAAACUUGAGUGCAGGAGAGGAGAGUGGAAUUCCUAGUGUGGCGGUGAAAUGCGUAGAUAUUAGGAGGAACACCAGUGGCGAAGGCGGCUUACUGGACUGUAACUGACGUUGAGGCUCGAAAGCGUGGGGAGCAAACAGGAUUAGAUACCCGAGUA